GGUCGACAAGUGCGAGCGCGUCAACACUGUCGGCGAUGACGAUGGUUGGUCGACUAGCAAACAAAAUGGUUACUAUUAUGACUGUAAUGCAUUGGUGUUAUCGCUGACACCUUCAGCUACUAUGGGAUCCGCCUCGCCCAGGUAUGCCCAUGUCCAUUGCCCUUAUCUGGAUCCACAGCCCCUCUUUGUUUCUGAUUAUUGUUUGUUCUUAUAUACUCUCAAAUUUCCAUGAGUGCGAUAAGAUGAACGAGUAUCCCGUGUCUGCGGCAACUCGCAUAGCCUGAUCCGGAAGUACGUGUGUGCUGCAGGCAUUGCUUCCGCAGCAACGCCAAGGACAUUGGCUUUAUCAAGGUAUGAGCCACCCCACUGUUUAUUGAUUUCCUGAAUCAUGUGCCUGAGUUUGAUGACUGCUGAGUAGUAAUAUGUUACCCCAUGUUUUGCUUUGAACAAUAUAUAUGCUUUGUCUACAAGGCCUCUUGGUAUGGCGCACCAGUUUUAAUUUGUUGGAGACUACCAUUUGAUAGUGGGAGUUAUUGCAUAAUGUAGUGUAAUGUAUGACAUGUUAGAUUCAGAAUAUAUCUGUGUGUUGCUCUCCUCUUUCCUAGAGUAAACCUGGUUAAGUUCAGCGAUCAUCACAUCAUGUUCUGCCUUGCAUUAUUUUGUAUUGAUUUGAUGAAUGUGUAAUUUGUACGCACCAUAAGGCAUCUUGGAAUGGACGGAGUUGUGCAUAACUACAUGAUAUUUGCUCUGUUUGUUUGCUGUUCACACCUAUAUAAGUCUUACUCUACUGCAUCUAUCUCCAGUCUCAGCUAUUUUUACUAACCGUCAACUACCAAGUUUUUCUGAGCAUGCCAGUCCAUUUCAAAGCAGAACAAGUUGAGUGUAUUGCAAUUGCUCAAAUAUUUAUUAAGUAGGCCUUUAUAUAUUGUAUAUAUAUCUAUUUCCUGAAUAACGAUGAUUUAUUAGAAAUUGAGAUGAUUUUCCUUUUGAAGAAUGUUGUUUUCAUUUCCACUUUUAUCUCAUUAAUUGUAGGUUUUAUGCUUCAGUUUUUAGGUUUGGGUAAAUUAUUUUUCAAAUGCAUAUGUUGUGUCUGAAUACCUGAAUGUCUGUGUGUAGCUAAUUUCUUGUAUUCCUGUUCUUUUGUAUCAUCCCAAUCUUUUUAUACUGAUAGCUGCAUUUGCGCACUAAGAAUGGAUUUUCAGUACCCGGGUGUCCAGUCACCCCUUUAUCAUCACCGUACAUUUACAAUUCAAUGCCUGGAGAUAUGUACCAGAGAAGAGUAGCUAUCUUUCGUUUAACAGGCUUGUUCGGUCGCCAAGCCAUAUCGGAACUAGACUGGCACAGUUCCUACUAGGCGGAUUCCAACCCUGAGACGUCGAAAGGACAUGUUGAAAAGACGUGUCUCCUUAGACAUGUUGAUACUGUAGAUAAUGAGAGAGCGUAAGCGCAUUAAUAAAAAGAAACAAAGGGUGGCUAGACCGCUAGAGUGCCUGUAUGCGUCUGAAGCAGCAGGAGCAAGGUAAAAAAAGGCUACUUACAUUUUACUACUCAGUGGGAUCUUCUGUGAGCAAUGUAUAUACUCUGGUUCACAAAAAUACUGUUUGGGGAAGGGAUACAGAAGAAGCCACAUAGCUCUUUACAUAAGUAAUCUGAGGCCUUCAGAAAAUUACUGCAUGCAUGUUAGACCGUGGCUAACAUGCACCGGUUAUGAGUAGUCUCAUCAAACUGACAAGCUUGACCUGCUGCCAGCCCACGCAUAGGCCUAGUGCCUGUUGCCUAGACCUUUCUUUAUCUUAAAUGACCUGUUUAAGUACUGUGACACUGCAAAUCGUAUGCUGAUGUGCAGAUCAUAGCACGAAUCUUAGCGGAGCUGAACGGGCAGAUAAGGGGGAGUCUGGACUCCCGGGUGCCAUAGCACCUUUUCGUUUGUGCACUUGUUUAACAGUACCAUUAAGAAUGAAAACCUCAAAGGAAGCAAGGACUAGGAAAUUAUCAUCAAACUGUGGUGUUUCACCGAGGACGACCUUUAUCAACAAUGAAGUAAUUGUGCCUGGAAUUUGCUUUGAAAUUUUCAAUGCUUUGGACCUAACUCAAGUUAUAAUUUUGUAGUUAAACCACAUGAUAUUGUUUUCCAAUCGCAUGUUUUUCCUACACAAACCAUAUGAAUUUAAUGAGCUUGCUUCACUACUAUAUGCAAAGGUAUCAUCUAAAAGAAAUUAUGGGUUUCAGAUAUGCUCCAGUUUUAUUGCAUUUCAUUAUAUACAUGCCAGGCGGCUGCGCCCACAUAAGGGACAAAACUUGUUUUUGGCUCACGCCUAGCUGUCCAUUGUGUGGAUCAUGCACCAAUUCCAUCUGCCAAAUCAUAUUUCUGGGGUUUCCCCUCUUGCUUACAUUUCCAUUUGUAUACUUUAUGGAUUAUUCAAUCUUAUUUGUUUAGUAUAUAUAACUUGGAUGUCUCAUGCUUGGUAGGAGAUACAUAAUAAGGGAAUUGAGGCAAAGCAGUUGAAAUUUAAGAACGUCAUGUGCUCCUAUUACUUUGAUCAAUCUGCAGUACUGUUUAGCCUAUGAGCCAAUACGGGUGACCAGCGUGAGAAGAUGGGGCAAGGAUGAGGCCCUUCGUUUGGCCAUGGUAAGAUCCAUGCGUGGACCUCAGCCACCCGAACGACGAAGCCGUCAUCGACCAGAUCGCGAGUUGUACUCGGUGGAAGGCAACGGAAGACUUCCCUUUUCGAUCAAGGCCAAGCACGCAUGUCUAAUCCAUGGUUGGAUCACAUACCUCUUUCUUUUUUCAUGGAUGCUCUAAUUUUCAGAUUAUGCCAGCAUUUUUUUAGACAUUGAAUUAAAUGACUAUGCAUGUGUUGUUGCACAAACUGACUCACAUCAAUGUUUACAUUCAAUAUGGUUCUGUCAGUAAUUCUAUAUGCCUGCUCCUUUUUUUAAAAGUAGGUUGUUCAACUGUCGUUUAAUAGUCUUUAUAUAAUGGUGGUACGACGACAAGGAUAUGCUGAUGUAUUUGAGCUUCUUUGCCAUAGUUCAAAGUGUGUAGUCCGGGCUAUGCUUUAUAUAUGUUCUUUUUGGCGUUGACAAUCCAACAGAAAGUGUGCCCUAAAUUAUAGAUCAGUCCAUUCAUCUCGCCUCUUUUUUUAGGUGGCAGGGUCAGAUGGAUUUUCGUGAGCUUCGCCAUGGUUUUCUCUUCUGUUACUUGGUGCAGGGCCUGAUGGAAUUAUGCUGAACUGUAAUAUUUUGGUAGUACAGAACGGUUCAUUUAUUAUAGUUGUUCGUUGUAGUUUUAGAACCGUGGCAUUCGAUUAUCUUGUUAUAUUCAUUUUCCCCUCUGGUGGCGUGUGUGGUCGAUGCUUCAGGUUUGCAUCUCCUCCCGCAUCCCUCGAAUCCUUUCUGUAUUUUCCCUCCCGCCAAGGAAAGGGAGAUAGAAGCAUCUACUCGAAUUAGUGGUCAAAUCAUCCUAAAGAAUCAUGGUUAGCUACAUCUAACUAUGUGAUUGCAUUUGGAGCUAGAAUGAAGUUAGGUUCGUCUCUUCCCUGGAAACUAAUCAGCUAUGUCAUCUCCAUGAUUUGGGAGAUUAAAUAAAGAGCUAGGUUGAGGUUUCACGGGUCAGCCUAUCAAUUUGUGUUAGGCUGAUACAAAUAAUAUUUGUUUAGUUUAUACAAAGGUUACCUGACAAAUUCAUCUUGCUCUUUGCAAAUAUUAGAUGAUAUAAGUAAUGGAAGCACUAUCUUUAUGCAAACAAGAGCGCACACCUCCACCUGAGACUUAGAGGUGUGCGUCAUGUGUUUCAAUUUCUGAUAGAAACACAUAAUAUUUCUAUUUCGCUCUUUAGACAAUCGCAUGCACGUUGCACACUUAUGGCAUGACCAGGAAUGGAAAUGCACAAAGCAAAUGCAUUAUGACUCGAUGCUUUAAUUUAUAGGAACAUGUAUAAAUUGUGAGUUGCUUUUUGUUUGAUCAACAUUGUUUCUUCGUACGCUUACAUGGUUAUUGAUUUGGUGAUUAUUCAUCAUUUAAUUUUACCAGUACUUACAUGAUUAGUGCUUUUGUACAUCCCUUGCAGUGAACAAGCAGACUAGCAGAGAAAAGAUUGAAGGUACUUCAAAUUUUAUUGAAGAGGAUUCUGAUGGCCGGAUUUACAAGAUGCUUCAUAUGUUGGAUCAAAUUCUCAGUAUGAUCUUUGUGUGCUCCUUUUUUUAUACGACUAUGUUCUAAAAAGAAGAAUUAAUAUUUCCUCUAUGACGGCAGUGGCACGAUGGUUGAGAGGGGUGCUUUUUUCUUUGAUGCCUCCCCAAUACUAUUUCAUUCUCUCCCAUGUUUCCCAAAUCUGAAGUUACCAUUCCAUGUUCUGUUUCUGUACUUUCAACUCCUAAUCUCAAUAAUCAGAACCUCCAUGGCAGAUGUGGAGACCGAUCAUGAACCUCUCCUUUCACAUCAGAUUGUGUCUCAUCUAAAAAGCUUAGGUCUUAUUCCAUCAAUUUUGGCUUAAUACAUAUACCUAAUAAUUAAGCAAAGAAUUAACGCAUAAUUUGUUGAAUGACUACAACUUUCUGAACUCAAUCUACAAAUUUGAGAAUGUACCUUUUGCAUUUUUGAGCAAGGAAGUGAAUGUUGUGUUCAUAUGACUAAUGAUGAAGCUCUAACAUUCAAAGUUUAGCAACCAUCUUGUGAGAAGAGAGAUGGAUGCAAUACACAGAUUGUAUUGAUGUCAGAGGUAUAUGCUAUUUUAAGGGGCUUUGCUAGCACAGAUUCAGUAUAGUAUAGUGCAAUACGAUUAACCUGAAAAACUAGAUAGAUACAGACACUUGUUGUGAACUAAUCUACUUCAAUAUAUCUCAAAUAUUGAUGACCUUCUCCUAUGAUUUUUGUCUUUUCGGAUUCUCAAUAUCACUUCCAAAGGUUUAUUUUAGUAACCUUCACUUUUUUGAUAUUGAGUUGUUCCUUGAACAUAGAUCCUUCGGAGAGGAAGAGUUUAUAUUGCGGGCAAGGAAUCAGAUCUUGAGGUGACCACACAUCCAUUCAAACCAGGUUCGUUGCUGGUUCGUUGUCGGACAGUUAAGAACUGAAAUAGCUGAAGAGAACAUUAGGAGGUGAUGUUAGAAGUUUGCUUGUGUGCUACCUGCUGUUGUGAUUAGAAGGAAUUUGCAUGUUCUCACAGAAUGGAAAAGGAGGCACUAUGGUGAGACUUGACUAAAUGUAGAGUUUUGAAUCCCUUUACCAUAGUAGUUUACAUAUUCUUUUCGUGAGGCAAUGAUUAAUCAGUGUUAAAGCUGCUCCGCAUAUUAGUAAAACAAAAUUGUAUUUUAAUUGGAAAGUAUAGUUUCUUUACAGAACCAGCGACCGAUCAAUGUUGAAUUAGCUUUGAAUAUUUUGUUGAAGUUCAUUGAA